UGUAGGGCCAGAAUGUCUUAUG
rnacentral:miRNA from 1 species